rnacentral:misc_RNA from 1 species
GAUGAAGAACGCAGCGAAAUGCGAUAACUAGUGUGAAUUGCAGAAUUCCGUGAAUCAUCGAGUCUUUGAACGCACAUUGCGCCCCCUGGUAUUCCGGGGGGCAUGCCUGUCCGAGCGUCAUUGCUGCCCAUCAAGCACGGCUUGUGUGUUGGGUCGCCGUCCCCCCCUCCGGGGGGGGACGGGCCCUAAAGGCAGCGGCGGCACCGCGUCCGAUCCUCGAGCGUAUGGGGCUUUGUCACCCGCUCUGUAGGCCCGGCCGGCGCUUGCCGAACGCAAAACAACCAUUCUUUCCAGGUUGACCUCGGAUCAGGUAGGGAUACCCGCUGAACUUAAGCAUAUCAAUAAGCGGAGGA